CGUGAGAUUGGUUGGUUAACGUCCCGUAAGAGCGCAACCUUGUCCUUAGUUACCAGCACGUUAUGGUGGGCACUCUAAGGAGACUGCCGGUGACAAACCGGAGGAAGGUGGGAUGACGUCAAGUCAUCAUGGCCCUUACGGCCUGGGCUACACACGUGCUACAAUGGUCGGUACAAAGGGUUGCCAAGCCGCGAGGUGGAGCUAAUCCCAUAAAACCGAUCGUAGUCCGGAUCGCAGUCUGCAACUCGACUGCGUGAAGUCGGAAUCGCUAGUAACCGCAGAUCAGCUACGUUGCGGUGAAUACGUUCCCGGGCCUU
rnacentral:rRNA from 1 species